UACAGAGGUCCCAAGCGUUGUUCGGAUUCACUGGGCGUAAAGGGUGCGUAGGCGGCGCGGUAAGUCGGGUGUGAAAUCUUGGAGCUUAACUCCGAAACUGCAUUCGAUACUGCCGUGCUUGAGGACUGGAGAGGAGACUGGAAUUUACGGUGUAGCGGUGAAAUGCGUAGAUAUCGUAAGGAAGACCAGUGGCGAAGGCGGGUCUCUGGGCUGACACUGACGCUCAUGCACGAAAGCGUGGGGAGCAAACAGG
rnacentral:rRNA from 1 species